rnacentral:rRNA from 1 species
GUCGAGCGGUAGCACAGAGAGCUGGCUCUCGGGUGACGAGCGGCGGACGGGUGAGUAAUGUCUGGGAAACUGCCUGAUGGAGGGGGAUAACUACUGGAAACGGUAGCUAAUACCGCAUAACGUCGCAAGACCAAAGUGGGGGACCUUCGGGCCUCAUGCCAUCAAAUGUGCCCAGAUGGGAUUAGCUAGUAGGUGGGGUAAUGGCUCACCUAAGCAACGAUCCCUAGCUGGUCUGARAGGAUGACCAGCCACACUGGAACUGACACACGGUCCACACUCCUACGGGAGGCAGCAGUGGGGAAUAUUGCGCAAUGGGCGCAAGCCUGAUGCAUCCAUGCCGCGUGUAUGAAGAAGGCCUUCGGGUUGUAAAGUACUUUCA